GAUCAACCAUGCAUGCAUAAUGCUCAAUUUCAUGUACAAUCCCAUAAACAGAGCUCAUCUUGUCAAAGUAAUGUCGCCCGGUGUCUACAAGACCACUGUGACUACAAGCAGAAAGCAAUCCUGUGAAGGUUAUCUCAUCAGGCCAAAUACCUUCAGCUUGCAUCUUUUCAAAGUGCUUGAUUGCCUCUGGUCCACAACCAUGUAAUGCAAGGGCCCCAAUAAUGGCAUUCCAAGACACUAAAUUCUUAUUUGGCAUCUUGUUAAAGACAUCCAAGGCGAACUUAAGGGUGCCACACUUUGCAAACAUGUCUAUAAUUGAGUUGCAUAGAGUAACACUAGGUGUACUACAAGUGCUAUGUAUGUAAUCGUGGAUUUUCUUUCCCAUGACCAAAUCACCAAUUUGACUACAGGCUGAAAGAAUAGAAAGUAGGGUAGCCUCAUCAGGCUUCACUCUCAAAUUAUUCAUCUCAUGGAACAGAUCAAGAGCUUCCCGGCAUUGGCCUCCCUGAACAUAACAAGAAAUCAUUGCAUUCCAAGAAAUU
rnacentral:misc_RNA from 1 species